rnacentral:rRNA from 1 species
GACAGAGGGUGCAAACGUUGUUCGGAAUUACUGGGCGUAAAGCGCGUGUAGGCGGCUCGGCAAGUCGGGUGUGAAAGCCCUGGGCUUAACCUAGGAAGUGCACUCGAAACUGCCAAGCUUGAGUUCUGGAGAGGAAGGCGGAAUUCUCGGUGUAGAGGUGAAAUUCGUAGAUAUCGAGAGGAACACCGGUGGCGAAGGCGGCCUUCUGGACAGUGACUGACGCUGAGACGCGAAAGCGUGGGGAGCAAACAGG